rnacentral:rRNA from 1 species
AUUGAACGCUGGCGGCAUGCCUUACACAUGCGAGUCGAACGGCAGCGCGGACUUCGGUCUGGCGGCGAGUGGCGAACGGGUGAGUAAUGUAUCGGAACGUACCAUUCAGUGGGGGAUAACGCAGCGAAAGUUGCGCUAAUACCGCAUAUUCUGUGCGCAGGAAAGCAGGGGAUCGCAAGACCUUGCGCUGAUUGAGCGGCCGAUAUCAGAUUAGCUAGUUGGUGAGGUAAAGGCUCACCAAGGCGACGAUCUGUAGCGGGUCUGAAAGGAUGAUCCGCCACACUGGAACUGAGGCACGGUCCAGACUCCUACGGGAGGCAGCAGUGGGGAAUUUUGGACAAUGGGCGCAAGCCUGAUCCAGCCAUGCCGCGUGAGUGAAGAAGGCCUUCGGGUUGUAAAGCUCUUUCGGCCGGGAAGAAAUCGUAUGGGUUAAUACCCUGUGCGGAUGACGGUGCCGGCAUAAGAAGCACCGGCUAACUACGUGCCAGCCGCCGCCGUAAUAC